GGGUUGUGAGGUUAAGCGACUAAGCGUACACGGUGGAUGCCUAGGCAAUCAGAGGCGAUGAAGGACGUGC
rnacentral:rRNA from 1 species